rnacentral:rRNA from 1 species
UACGGGGGGUGCAAGCGUUAUUCGGAAUUAUUGGGCGUAGAGGGCGCGUAGGCGGUUCUAUAAGUCAGCUGUGAAAGCCCUGGGCUUAACCCAGGAAGUGCAUUUGAAACUAUGGAACUUGAGUACGGUAGAGGAAAGCGGAAUUCCUGGUGUAGAGGUGAAAUUCGUAGAUAUCAGGAGGAACACCGGUGGCGAAGGCGGCUUUCUGGACCUGUACUGACGCUGAGGCGCGAAGGCGUGGGUAGCGAACGGG